UGAUGACGAGACGCUAAGGCGUUGAAGCAGUGUAUGUCAGACUCCCAAGAAAAGCUCGCACUGUCAUAAACAAAUAAUGCCUGUACCAUAACCGACACAGGUGGGUAGGUAGAGUAUACUAAGGGGCGCGAGAUAACUCUCUCUAAGGAACUCGGCAAAAUGACUCCGUAACUUCGGGAGAAGGAGUGCCUUAUUUAUAAGGUUGCAAUAACAAGAUCCAAGCAACUGUUUAUCAAAAACACAGGUCUCCGCUAAGUCGUAAGACGAUGUAUGGGGGCUGACGCCUGCCCAGUGCCAGAAGGUUAAAGAAGUUGGUUAGUGUAUGCGAAGCUGAUGACUGAAGCCCUGGUGAACGGCGGCCGUAACUAUAACGGUCCUAAGGUAGCGAAAUUCCUUGUCGGGUAAGUUCCGACCCGCACGAAAGGCGUAAUGAUUUGGAUACUGUCUCGGAGAGAGGCUCGGUGAAAUAGACUUGUCUGUGAAGAUGCGGACUACCUGCACCAGGACAGAAAGACCCUAUGAAGCUUUACUGUAACUUGAAAUUGGAAUUGGACUUUGCUUGCGCAGUAUAGGUGGGAAGCGUUGAAAAUAUUCUUGCGGGAGUAUUGGAGCUAUCAGUGAGAUACCACUCUUGUAAUGUUAGAUUUCUAACUUUGAACCAUAAUCUGGUCAAAGAACAGUUUCAGGUGGGCAGUUUGACUGGGGCGGUCGCCUCCCAAAUGGUAACGGAGGCGUACAAAGGUUUCCGCUGAACGGAUAGAAAUCGUAUCUAGAGUGUAAAGGCAUAAGGAAGCUUGACUGUGAGACCUACAAGUCGAGCAGGGACGAAAGUCGGUCUUAGUGAUCUGACGGUACUGAGUGGAAAGGCCGUCACUCAACGGAUAAAAGUUACUCUAAGGAUAACAGGCUGAUCUCCCCCAAGAGUUCACAUCGACGGGGAGGUUUGGCACCUCGAUGUCGGCUCAUCGCAUCCUGGGGCGGUAGUACGUCCCAAGGGUUGGGCUGUUCGCCCAUGAAAGCGGUACGCGAGCUGGGUUCAGAACGUCGUGAGACAGUUCGGUCCAUAUCCGGUGUAGGCGCUAGAAUAUUGAGAGGAGCCUUCUUUAGUACGAGAGGACCGAGAAGGACACACCGCUGGUGUACCAGUUAUCGUGCCAACGGUAAACGCUGGGUAGCUAUGUGUGGAGUGGAUAACCGCUGAAAGCAUCUAAGUGGGAAGCCCACCUCGAGAUGAGUAUUCUC
rnacentral:rRNA from 1 species